GGGGGCGUAACGGCUUCGACGGGGAUCUGAAGGCAGGAAAAGCGAGUAGCGGCGGGGGACCGCUUUAUCACCCUCCAUAUAAAAAUAGCUAACGACAACGAAACUUUAGCUGUAGCGGCAUAGUCCGCUUCCGUCGGUCGGCCUGAGUACUGCGUAGGGUCUUCCGGCGUAACCUUUAGCAGUGAACGUGCGCGGCGCAAAGCUUUGAGUGCUGCCAUGUAAUGAUGAAGCUACCGAGCGCAAGGCUUGUCCGUUUGCCGACCGCAAGGGAAUUUCAAUAACGGACUGCACUCGGAGAAGUUCCCGCUGACGGGUUUUCGGACAGGGGUUCGAUUCCCCUCGCCUCCACCA
rnacentral:tmRNA from 1 species